ensembl:snRNA Gm24678 predicted gene, 24678
AUGCUUGCUUCAGCAGCACAGAGACCAACACUGGGAUGAUAUGGAGAAGAUUAGCAUGGCCUUGCACAAGGAUGACACACAUUUGUGAAGCAUUCCAUUGAAAG